rnacentral:pre_miRNA from 1 species
AAGGAUACUCCCUCCAUCUUAUAAAAAAAAAAAGUCAAAACGUGGGUUCCUGUGCCAACGUUUGACUAUCCGUCUUAUAUGAAUUUUUUUAUAAUUAGUAUUUUCAUUGUUGUUAGAUGAUAAAAUAUGAUUAAUACUUUAUGCGUGACUUAUCUUUUUAAUUUUUUCAUAACUUUUUCAAAUAAGACGAACGGUUAAACGUUGGACACGAAAACUAGGGUUUGUCUUUUUUUUGGGACGGAGGGAGUAA